AGGCGCAUAGCUUAAUGGCAAAGCAAUGGCCUCUUAAGCCAUUGAUCAGGGUUCGACUCCCUGUGUGCCUA
rnacentral:tRNA from 1 species